rnacentral:piRNA from 1 species
UCCCAAUGCACCGGUUCCUAGAACUUUC